rnacentral:rRNA from 1 species
CAGUCGCCGCGGUAAUACAGAGGGUGCGAGCGUUAAUCGGAUUUACUGGGCGUAAAGCGCGCGUAGGUGGUUUGUUAAGUUGGAUGUGAAAGCCCCGGGCUCAACCUGGGAACUGCAUCCAAAACUGGCAAGCUAGAGUACGGUAGAGGGUGGUGGAAUUUCCUGUGUAGCGGUGAAAUGCGUAGAUAUAGGAAGGAACACCAGUGGCGAAGGCGACCACCUGGACUGAUACCGACACUGAGGUGCGAAAGCGUGGGGAGCAAACAGGAUUAGAUACCCGAGUAGUCCCUGUCUCUUAUAC